ACUCGACCGGGCGAGUAUAAACAGGAUUCAGGCCCGGUGCGUCUCCGGGAAGCCCCGGAGGGUAUCA
rnacentral:ribozyme from 1 species